AAUUGGUUGCUGUAAAUGUGCUCCUGGCUUUAGAGUGAAAUCCAAAUACAUUGUUGGAGUCCUUGUGUAUAUGGGUGAUUUUUUUCCUAGUGCCUCCCCUGCUAUAAUUCUCACAUUUAUCCCAUCUUUUGUUGCUUCUGCUAUGUUCUCGCUUGAUAUCUCUUGGUACCUUGGUUGUAUCCUGUUAUACACAAGUGCGGUUUAUGACGUCAAAUUUAGAAUUUACAUUUUGAUGAGUUCAACCUUUAAUAAUAGAUUUCGUAUUUAAUUUUUGUUGAGAUUAUUGUAUUUUUCACAUAAAUAUUAUGUUCUGUGUCAAAAUAUUGAAUUUGUUAAAUCUGUCUCUACGUUAUGGUUAGCAUUAAGUUCAGUCUAUAGUCCAACCUCGAGAGAAAACAAAAAUAAACAUGUUUCACUUGAUACUGUAAAAAUUAUUUAAUAUAAUUAGUGUACAUUUAUCCCAUCUUUUGUUGCUUCUGCAAUCUUCUCGCUUGAUAUCUCUUGGUACCUUGGCUCUAUCCUGUCAUGCACAAGUACGGUUUAUGACGGCGAAUUAAGAAUUUAAAUUUUGAUGAGUUCAGCCUUUAAUAAUAGAUUUCAUAUUUAAUUUUUAUUGAGAUUUUAGUAUUUUUCACAUAAACAUAAUGUUCUAUGUCAAAAUAUUGAAUUUCGUUAAAUUCGUCUCAACGUUAUGGUUAGCAUUAAGUUCACUCUACAGUCCAAUCUCGAGAAAAAAAAACAUGUUUCACUUGAUAUACACAUACUAAAAAUUGUUGUAGCAGGUAAUCUUAUCAAUUGACUCACUGCAGUAAUCUUUUAAGUAAUUUGAUAAUGUAAAAAUUCUUUAAUAUUAUUAGUGUACAGAAGUUUAAAUAUUUUAAUAACUAAAUAGAAGGAUUUGCUUAC
rnacentral:lncRNA from 1 species